rnacentral:rRNA from 1 species
UAACUGUAAGUGAAAGCCGGCAAAACUCAAAUUUGAAAUCUUGACGUCUCCUGGCGUUCGAAUUGUAAUUUGGAGGGGCAUUUUCGGAGCUGGCACCGUCCUAAGUUCCUUGGAACAGGACGUCACAGAGGGUGAGAAUCCCGUGCCUGGAUGGCUGUCCAGCUCCAUGUGAGGUGUCUCCGACGAGUCGAGUUGUUUGGGAAUGCAGCUCAAAAUGGGUGGUAAAUUUCAUCUAAAGCUAAAUACUGGCGAGAGACCGAUAGCGCACAAGUAGAGUGAUCGAAAGAUGAAAAGCACUUUGAAAAGAGAGUUAAAAAGUACGUGAAAUUGUUGAAAGGGAAGCGCUUGAGACCAGACUCAACCUUCGGUGAUCAACUGUGCUUCUGUGCGGUGCACUUGCCGGGGGUUGGGCCAGCAUCGGUUUUGACGGUGGGAUAAAGGUUCGAGGAAUGUGGCUCCCCGAUUCCGGGGAGUGUUAUAGCCCUGAGCGCAAUGCCACCUGUUGGGACCGAGGACCGCGCUUCCGCUAGGAUGCUGGC